ACACGUAGGGGGCGAGCGUUGUCCGGAAUUACUGGGCGUAAAGGGCGCGUAGUGGCCGCUUAAGUCAGAUGUGAAAUCCCAAGGCUUAACCUUGGAGUGGCAUUUGAAACUGGGUGGCUUGAGGGCAGGAGAGGAAAGCGGAAUUCCCAGUGUAGCGGUGAAAUGCGUAGAUAUUGGGAAGAACACCGGUGGCGAAGGCGGCUUUCUGGACUGAACCUGACGCUGAGGCGCGAAAGCCAGGGGAGCGAACGGGAUUAGAUACCCCGGUAGUCCUGGCCGUAAACGAUGGAUACUAGGUGUGGGAGGUAUCGACCCCUUCCGUGCCGCAGCCAACGCAAUAAGUAUCCCGCCUGGGGAGUACGGCCGCAAGGCUGAA
rnacentral:rRNA from 1 species